GACGAACGCUGGCGGCGUGCCUAAUACAUGCAAGUCGAACGCAGUGGGGACGGGUGAGUAACACGUGGGUAACCUCCCAUCAGAGGGGAUAACACUUGGCAACAGGUGCUAAACCGAUACUGAUGGAUGGGCCCGUGGGGCAUUAGCUAGUUGGUGAGGUAACGGCCAACCAAUGCCACGAUGCAUAGCCGGCCUGAGAGGAGGAUCGGCCACACUGGGACUGAGACACGGCCCAGAGGCCUAGGGGAGGCAGCAGUAGGGAAUUUUCGGCAAUGGACGAAAGUGUGACCGAGCAACGCCGCGUGAGUGAAGAAGGUUUUCUGAUCGUAAAACUCUGUUGUUAGAGAAGCGGUAUCUAACCAGAAAGCGACGGCUAACUACGUGCCAGCCGCCGCGGUAAUAC
rnacentral:rRNA from 1 species